AUUCAUCCCUGCCUUCGGAGCCUCUAGCUUUAUAACUGCUGCUACAGGGGCAGCCACACCCAGGAGGUGACAACCCGCGUGCAGCUCGUUCCUGGAGAUUCAGAAAGCACUUUGAAACCACAAGGACGGCUGCCCUCACCUCUCAGAGAUGCUCACUCCUAUGCCCAUCCACACCCUCCCUCAGAUGCCUUCCUUGCCUCACAGUGAAAGUCAGGGUGAGUCUAAGGGUGGAGGUGGGGGGAACACAAACUUGAAGAUUGAACAUUUGCUCUUGAUUAGAAGAAUGUGUCGUAUUUGUGUGGGGCAGAGAGGAGGGGAAUGGUGGGCUCUUGCAUGAUCUAUUAAUAAGAACCAGUUUAAACAGCAGCUUAUGAAAGCAAGGCUAAUUCCAAAGCCAAAAGCCCCACAUUCUUAACUUUCCCACUAACUUUGGACCCAGUCUCUGCAGAGUCAGUCCCAGAACUGGAACAUGAUUCUUUGAAGGCAAAGCCAACAUUUAGAAAUCUGAAAUUGAGCUCAGGGCACAGCAUAGGGUGGCCAUUCAGGAUGUUAUUUAACACCGUUAGACAGGAUGUCAAUCUGUUUGAUAUCUUUAUUUGUUUCAUGUGCUUGUGAAGAAAGCAUUUAUGGGCAUUUUUUUGCUUUACAUGUAUUUUGUUACAGGGUAUUUAUUUUCAAUUGUCAGGGAAUCUUAAAGUCCCCUGCCUCCAGAAGAUAGGGUAUUUACCCAAC
rnacentral:lncRNA from 1 species